UGUGUCAACCUACAAGAGUUAGAAGACUGGCAGGCCUCUUUAGGAUCGCAAGUUUGGGAAAACUUUGGUUUCCUGGUCAGUUCCAGUAGUACAGGCGAGAGUGGUGGAUAAGACAAGGACUGUGUGUCGGCGUUGUUCAGCAGUUGUUAGGUGUAAAUAUAUCUAACAUGCAAACACAUAUCACACUCCAUCACCCAGAUGUGCCAAUCACUGGAACGAGACAAA